GGCUUUUUGAAAAUAAUUUAAAGUUUGACCUGCCCACUGAGUUUUUAAAUGGCCGCAGUAUCUUGACUGUGCAAAGGUAGCAUAAUCAUUAGUUUUUUAAUUGGAAGCUUGUAUGAAAGGUCGGAUGAGAAAAUAGCUGUCUCUAUAAAAAUUUAUUAGAAUUUUAUUUUUAAGUAAAAAAGCUUAAAUAAUAAUAGAAGACGAGAAGACCCUAUAGAGUUUUAUAUUUAUAUAAUUUGAAAUUUUUAGUAUUUUAGCUUUUUUUUUAUUAUAUUAUUUGGUUGGGGUGAUUGAGAAAUUAAAAAAACUUUCUUUUUAUUAUUACAUUUAUUUAUGAAAAAAUGAUCCUUAUUUGAAGAUUAUAAGAUUAAAUUACCUUAGGGAUAACAGCGUAAUUUUUUUUGAGAGCUCAAAUCGAAAGAAAAGAUUGCGACCUCGAUGUUGGAUUAAAGUAAAUUUUUGGUGUAGAAGCUAAAAUUAAUUAGGUCUGUUCGACCUUUAAAACUUUACAUGAUCUGAGUUCAAACCGGUGUGAG
rnacentral:rRNA from 1 species